rnacentral:rRNA from 1 species
AUGGACGAAAGUCUGACCGAGCAACGCCGCGUGAGUGAAGAAGGUUUUCGGAUCGUAAAGCUCUGUUGUAAGUCAAGAACGUGUGUGAGAGUGGAAAGUUCACACAGUGACGGUAGCUUACCAGAAAGGGACGGCUAACUACGUGCCAGCAGCCGCGAUAAUACGUAGGUCCCGAGCGUUGUCCGGAUUUAUUGGGCGUAAAGGGAGCGCAGGCGGUCAGGAAAGUCUGGAGUAAAAGGCUAUGGCUCAACCAUAGUGUGCUCUGGAAACUGUCUGACUUGAGUGCAGAAGGGGAGAGUGGAAUUCCAUGUGUAGCGGUGAAAUGCGUAGAUAUAUGGAGGAACACCAGUGGCGAAAGCGGCUCUCUGGUCUGUCACUGACGCUGAGGCUCGAAAGCGUGGGUAGCGAACAGGAUUAGAUACCCUGGUAGUCCACGCCGUAAACGGUGAGUGCUAGGUGUUAGGCCCUUUCCGGGGCUUAGUGCCGGAGCUAACGCAAUAAGCACUCCGCCUGGGGAGUACGACCGCAAGGUUGAAACUCAAAGGAAUUGACGGGGGCCCGCACAAGCGGUGGAGCAUGUGGUUUAAUUCGAAGCAACGCGAAGAACCUUACCAGGUCUUGACAUCCCGAUGCUAUUCUUAGAGAUAGGAAGUUACUUCGGUACAUCGGAGACAGGUGGUGCAUGGUUGUCGUCAGCUCGUGUCGUGAGAUGU